UUGACAUGAGACAGAAACGAAACCUCAUUAUGACCUUUGUUUUAUUUACAACCACAGAUGAAUACAAUUAGUCUGACCUCUAUAACAGAGUGUUGUAUUAAUGUCAUUGCAGUUACUCUCUGCCAUUGGUCUAAAGCGCUGUAUUAUCAAAGACAAACGGCACCUCUCUUUGAUGUGGGCUGAGUGUGAUCCAGGCAAUAAAACAAGCGUGUAUCUGCACCCCCCUGCCCACCUCCAGAGAGUUUCUCCUGCUCCGGUGUCACCCACAGUUCAGCGUCCGUGGAUGGACUGCCAGCCUGCGACCCGACGUGGACUGGGGCGUGGGGGGCGGCUCUGCUGAACAGUGCAUUCCAGGACAGAGAAAACACCUCUCUCCCAUCCCCAACACACGCUUUGUAACUGGAAGCCACAACACAGACGUGAUACUGUGCACACAAUAGGAGCUGGAGAGCUGCACGGCUUGAUGUGACGAGAUGGAUAAGCCGUGAAAGCAUGAAUCAACAGUGAGAAAUGUUAAUGGGGUUAUUACGCCAUUACGCUGAUCAAUGAGCGUUUUAAGAACUUUUCAUGACUGAUGAUGCCCUCACUUAUCACAGGAGAAAUACUUCAUUAAUGUCACAGGACAUUUGAUGUUUGGACCUACUGAUGUCUCAGUUGGCUGACGCAAGCACCAAGGAUGGGGCCGGUGUCCAGGGGCCUUUGCCCUACCAGGGGUCUUGAGCUGAGAGGGCCUAAGAGUGGCCUGAAACCUGAAAACAAGGCACUGGAAAUGUAAUAUUGAACUGUUUUAAAAUGCAUGCCAAUGUCUUCCCAAAAUGUGGAAUAAAUAAAC